rnacentral:rRNA from 1 species
UACGUAGGGGGCGAGCGUUGUCCGGAAUCAUUGGGCGUAAAGAGCGCGUAGGCGGCCCGGUAAGUCCGCUGUGAAAGUCCAGGGCUCAACCCUGGAAUGCCGGUGGAAACUGUCGAGCUAGAGUCCGGAAGAGGCGAGUGGAAUUCCUGGUGUAGCGGUGAAAUGCGCAGAUAUCAGGAGGAACACCGGCGGUGUAGACGGCGGGCUAGACCAUAACUGACGCUGAGGCACGAAAGCGUGGGUAGCAAACAGG